rnacentral:snoRNA from 1 species
UCCCACGUACCAUGUCAAGGCAGCCGAUUGUCCCAUUCUGGGUACUCCUACUUCGGUCGCCUGUUACGGUCGUGGAACAUCAUCCGGCGCGCACUGCACCGCCGUGCGCUCUCGUCUUGAGGGCGCACGGAUCCCGGGGCACGCGCGCCGUCAGUCUCUAUAGAGUUGAGGGCGGCUGUAUUUUCUCUCCGUCGUUCUCGUAGUUUGGGGACAUACAUUC